rnacentral:rRNA from 1 species
CGCGGCCUAUCAGCUUGUUGGUGGGGUAAUGGCCUACCAAGGCAACGACGGGUAGCUGGUCUGAGAGGAUGAUCAGCCACACUGGGACUGAGACACGGCCCAGACUCCUACGGGAGGCAGCAGUGGGGAAUCUUGCGCAAUGGGCGAAAGCCUGACGCAGCAACGCCGCGUGCGGGAUGAAGGCCUUCGGGCUGUAAACCGCUUUCAGCAGGAACGAAAAUGACGGUACCUGCAGAAGAAGGAGCGGCCAACUACGUGCCAGCAGCCGCGGUGACACGUAGGCUCCAAGCGUUGUCCGGAUUUAUUGGGCGUAAAGAGCUCGUAGGCGGUUGAGUAAGUCGGGUGUGAAAACUCUGGGCUUAACCCGGAGACGCCAUCCGAUACUGCUCUGACUUGAGUUCAGGAGGGGAGUGGGGAAUUCCUAGUGUAGCGGUGAAAUGCGCAGAUAUUAGGAGGAACACCGGUGGCGAAGGCGCCACUCUGGACUGAAACUGACGCUGAGGAGCGAAAGCAUGGGUAGCAAACAGGAUUAGAUACCCUGGUAGCCCAUGCCGUAAACGGUGGGCACUAGGUGUGGGUUCCAACUAACGGGAUCCGCGCCGUCGCUAACGCAUUAAGUGCCCCGCCUGGGGAGUACGG